GGGAAAAAAAGGGCGUAGUAAGUCAUACGGAGAGGCUCGUACGUCAUACUUCAUCCGGGCCAACGGAGCAACACAUGGAAAGGGCUCUCCCCGCACGUAUACGAAGAACGCAUUCACUCGGGCUGCCUCUUUAGGUCGCGAUGCUCGAUAGUGUGGGUUCCUAUACGUUACGUAUGCCUGAAUAUUUCGUAUACCUCUAUACACAUGCAGGAGAGAGACCCCGAACCACUUGAUCACCGGGAAUCCUUACUACGGACGCACACGAAGAUCGGGGCUGAUCCUCGUUGAUACGGGAGCAGAGCGCUGUGUUACCGGCAAUCCUCGUAAACGGCCAUAGCGGCAAGCGUGGAGGUUUCACGAGAAGGAGGGAUAAACGAAUCGAGCCACGAUUUCGUUGUCGUAAACGUCAAAGUUACGGUUACAGCGUUGUUCCUAGCUGCUUUAUAUUGAACGAGGUUGCUCCCCGAGGUACGUAACACCUACUCGCAGACGUCGUAUUGCAGAAAGUAGCGCUACUACUACUUUUCAACUCUGGGAGCGAUGCAACGAGCGGGCAACCACGUGGCUUUUACGCGGGAAUCCGGUGAAGGAAUUCAAGAUAAUGUUUCUUGCGUAUCGGAAAUAAAGGAUGUAAAUUUCAGAAACGGAAGCUACAGAGCUAUCAUUAAUAAUCUGCACCGUAAAAGAGGUUCUCUCUCAAUGGGCUUGAAUGAAGAGAUGCCUAAAUAGCACCCCAGCCUCUCUAUCGUUGUGCCCUCUAAUUACCCUGUAGACGCAGUCAACCCCUCAAUGAGAAGUGAU